rnacentral:rRNA from 1 species
GACGAACGCUGGCGGCGUGCUUAACACAUGCAAGUCGAGCGGUAAGGCCCUUUCGGGGGUACACGAGCGGCGAACGGGUGAGUAACACGUGGGUGACCUGCCCUCAGCUCUGGGAUAAGCCUGGGAAACCGGGUCUAAUACCGGAUAUGACUCCAUGACGCAUGUUGUGGGGUGGAAAGCCUUGUGCGGCUGAGGAUGGGCCCGCGGCCUAUCAGCUUGUUGGUGGGGUGANGGCCUACCAAGGCGACGACGGGUAGCCGGCCUGAGAGGGCGACCGGCCACACUGGGACUGAGACACGGCCC